rnacentral:rRNA from 1 species
GUGGCGAACGGGUGAGUAACACGUGAGCAACCUGCCCGACAAACCGGGAUAACAGCGGGAAACUGCUGCUAAUACCGGAUACACCAGGUAUGGCGCAUGCUGUAUCUGGGAAAGGGUUUACCGAUGUCGGAUGGGCUCGCGUCCCAUUAGCUAGUUGGUGAGGUAACGGCUCACCAAGGCGACGAUGGGUAGCUGGUCUGAGAGGACGAUCAGCCACACUGGAACUGAGACACGGUCCAGACUCCUACGGGAGGCAGCAGUGGGGAAUCUUGCACAAUGGGCGAAAGCCUGAUGCAGCGACGCCGCGUGGAGGAUGAAGGCCUUCGGGUUGUAAACUCCUGUCUGGGGGGAUGAACACUGACAGUACCCCCGGAGGAAGCCCCGGCUAACUACGUGCCAGCAGCCGCGGUAAUACGUAGGGGGCGAGCGUUGUCCGGAAUUACUGGGCGUAAAGCGCGCGCAGGCGGCCUAUUAAGUCAGGUGUUAAAAUGCGGA